rnacentral:rRNA from 1 species
UGAGGAAUAUUGGUCAAUGGGCGAGAGCCUGAACCAGCCAAGUCGCGUGAAGGACGACGGUUCUAUGGAUUGUAAACUUCUUUUGUAGAGGAAUAAUGGCAGCUACGCGUAGCUGAGAUGCAUGUACUCUACGAAUAAGUAUCGGCUAACUCCGUGCCAGCAGCCGCGGUAAUACGGAGGAUACGAGCGUUAUCCGGAAUUAUUGGGUUUAAAGGGUGCGUAGGUGGCGUAUUAAGUCAGUGGUGAAAAGCUGCAGCUCAACUGUAGUCUUGCCGUUGAAACUGAUAUGCUAGAGAGGAGACGAGGUAUGCGGAAUGUGUGGUGUAGCGGUGAAAUGCAUAGAUAUCACACAGAACGCCGAUUGCGAAGGCAGCGUACCAGGCUCCGUCUGACACUGAAGCACGAAAGCGUGGGGAUCAAACAGGAUUAGAUACCCUGGUAGUCCACGCAGUAAACGAUGAAUACUAGAUUUUUGCGAUAUACUGUAAGAGUCUAAGCGAAAGCGAUAAGUAUUCCACCUGGGGAGUACGCCGGCAACGGUG